AUGUUUCACUGGCAAAGCGAGAGGAGGAAACAUGUGGUGCUCUGCUCCAGGGUGAAAGGGCAGCCAUCAGCAGCACCUUCAUCAGCAUCCUGCAGAUCACAGCCUCGAACCCAGGACCAGCACGGCCACUGCAGCUCCAGUCUGUCACCACUCACAGGCUGGGCACAGGAGACUUGGGGAUGUUGGGACUGCAAGGACAGCCUUACCCCAAGUUUCUUGACAGUCCUGCUCAGGAUCAGGGGCUUUGGAACAGGUUCAGUAACAACAGGUGGUCAAAACCCGAGCUCUCACAAGCCACCCAGUUUCAUGUGCCACAGAGGGCAUGGCACAGAUGACAUUUUGCAGAGCAGUUUCUCUCUAGGCCCUGUAAAGCCUCAAGGAGAAGCACCAGCCAAAACUGAAGUGGAAGCAGACUCUGAAUUUGUUCCAUUGACAUAUUGCUUUGCCACCACAGAGAAGCAAGACAUGCAGCUCUGGAGAAGUAUAAGGAUGGCUAAACUCUCAGCUUGA
rnacentral:lncRNA from 1 species